rnacentral:rRNA from 1 species
GAACGAGGAUAUAUCCUUCGGGAUAUAAGCCGAGUGGCGGAAGGGUGAGUAAUGCAUAGACAACUUGCCUUUAGGAUAAGAAUAACUCUGUGAAAGCGGAGCUAAUACUUAAUAAUACAAAGAAAAGGAUCUUUUCUUUGUCAAAAAAGGGUAUUUAUACCUUUUACCUAAAGAGGGGUUUAUGUCCUAUCAGCUUGUUGGUGGGGUAACGGCCUACCAAGGCGAAGACGGGUAACCGGCCUUAGAGGGUAGUCGGUCACACUGGAACUGAGACACUGUCCAGACUUCUACGGAAGGCUGCAGUCGAGAAUCU